rnacentral:lncRNA from 1 species
CAAUCUGUCAAUGUUCUCACCAAUGGGAUGUGUGUCACACCCCCAGCUAAGGCACUUAGGAGUGGGUGUGUUUCCUUCUUCCUCUCUGCCACAAGCUGGAGCCCCCUCGCCCCUGUGUAACUGCCACCGAACCAGAAAGCCAACAGACCCAUACCGGGUUGUGAUGAGUUGGGUGAGACAUAAACCUUUGGGAGUUCCUGUCAUGGCUCAGCGGAAAUGAAUCUGACUGCAACCACGAGGACCCAGGUUUGAUCCCUAGCCUCCCUCAUGGGUUAAGGAUCCGGUGUUACCGUGAGCUGUGGUGUAGGUCGCAGACAAGGCUUGGAUCCCGAGUUGCUCUGGCUGUGGUGUGGGCCAGCAGCCACAGCUCCCAUUCGACCCCUAACCUGGGAACCGCCAUAAGCUGUGGGUGCAGCCCUGAAAAGACAAAAACAAAAGAUAAAACAACAACAACCACAAAAACCUUUUAUUGUGUUGGAUCCCUGAGGUGUCCAGGAUUGAUCACCUGUCCUUGCAGCUGGGAUUACUUACUCCAAAUGGUAUAGACCCCAUUGUCCAUUCUUGGAAGGAUGAAUCCAUGGCAUCCAUUGCAAUUCUUUAGAUACCGGGUGGAAGUGGCACUGAGAUUCCAGGUGGGAGAUUCCAGCCCGUUCCAGGCUGUAAAAAUGCGCAGCUGAAUGAUUGGGAAGAAUCAUUUCCUCCUCUGGCUCUCAGCUCCUCAUUGACACAGCAAGGGUGCUGAGUGAGAUAAUCGUUUCCAUGUCCUGCCGCUCUAAGACGGCGGUGAUGCUGGGCCACAGGGCUCAGCCCGCUGACCUCCACCUGUCCCUGAAAUGCAAGCUGAUGCCAAGUCCCCGGUCUGCGGGGUGCCGACCCUCUGCUGAUCAGAACAGCUAAGUAUUAUUAGAGACGGUCCCCAGUAGCCAAUGGAAGAGAUGAGGCAGAAUCAGGUGCUCAAGAACUGCUCCACCCAGGUUGCCCAGGCAACAGAUGACGUGAACAUGAAAUCUCCCAAUAUUCCUGGCUGCACCUCCACCCUGUGGACCCUCUGUCUGGCACCAUUUUGCCAGGCUCCAAUCAUAUCACGGACUGGAUAACUGGCCUCCCUGGAGCUGUGCAGGGCACCCUGCUGCCACCGCGGGUGGUGGCCUUGGCUUUCCUGGAACACACCGUGCCCGCCCACACCUCCUUGCUUUUGCCUGUGGGGUUCCACUUGGCCUGGAACAACAUCCCUCACUCCCCCAGCUGAGGGGGGAGCUCUUGUGUUCUUUCAAGGCCAGCUUGAAACACGGCCUCCUCCGGAACCCCCUCCCUGCUCGUCAUCCUUGCAGAAUUAAUUGUUGAUUGCCCCUUGAGAGCAUCAGUCACUUUGCUGCCCAGUUUGUCACUUGCAUGCCUGUCUCCCCC